rnacentral:rRNA from 1 species
GAUGAACGCUGGCGGCGUGCCUAAUACAUGCAAGUCGAGCGAACAGACCAGGAGUUUGCUCCUCAGACGUUAGCGGCGGACGGGAGAGUAACAUGUGGAUAAUCUACCUCAAAGACUGGGAUACCUUCGGGAAACCGUAGCUAAUACCGGAUAAUAUAUUGAACGGCAUGGUUCAAUAGUGAAAGUCGGUUUUGCUUUAACUUAUAGAUGGAUCCGUGCCGGAUUAGCUAGUUGGUUAGGUAACGGCUUACCAAGGCAACGAUGCGUAGCCGAUCUGAGAGGGUGAUCGGCCACACUAGAACGGAGGCACAGACCAGACUCCGACGGGGGGCCGCAGUAGGGAAUCAUGCGCAAGGGGCGAAUGCCGGACAGAGCAACGCCGCGUGAUGGAUGAAGGUCUUCUGAUCGUUGAACUCUGUUAGUAUGUAAGAACAAAUGUGUAGGUAACUAGGCUCUUCUUGACGGUACCUGGACAAAAAGCCACGGCUAACUACGUG